rnacentral:lncRNA from 1 species
UUCCAUGUUUAUAAUUUCGCCUUUCAUUCGCAAUUGUUGCAUUACAAUUUUCAACUUAUUAAUUCAAAAUUAAUUAUUCCAUUUUAUUUCAAGUCAAACUAAUUCCUUUUAAGCCGGCUUUACAAUUGUUUAUCUCUAAAAAUAAAGGCAAUGUUUGAUAUUUGAAAAUUUGAAAAAUCGUACCCUAACGUGCUGGAUUUCUAUUUUUCGUUUGUCCAAAAUAAUCAAAUAUCCCUUUAAAAUUUCGUCCGUGUUUUCUAAAUUUUAAAAUAAAGCAAUGUUUUAUGUUUGGAAAUCCAAG